rnacentral:lncRNA from 1 species
GGUUGAGCGGGCAGUGGGAGCUGGGACUUGUGCAGGCUGCAGAAGGAGGCUGAGCUGUUGAGUGCGUGGCUGGGGCCCCCCUUCGCCUCCACACCUUCCCUCUCACCUCUUCCCCUUCCGUGCUAGUGUCCAUCUUUCCACGUGGCCACGGCUGUUUACCUCUGUGUCCACUCCACUUCCCAGGAAGUCUGCCUGUCUUCUCCAGCUUUGUCCCACUGUGCUUGGUGCCAGGAGUUAGCAGGUACGUGGUCAACGAAGGAAAGAACUCAGCUGGCAGAGGGGAGGUCCCCAGGUCUUUGCUGCCCAGUGUCCUGUGUGGUUUUAGGGGGAGAUUUGAGCAGACAGGGCCCAGGCCACUGGACUGCAAUGGAAAGGCAGUCCCUCUUGAUCAGCUCUCUCUCCUGGACAGCCCAGGCAGCAGCCUUCUCUAGGUACCUGCUGGGCACAGUGGGUGAGUCCAGUGACAAACUGGGCAUGGUCCCCUGAAGGUUUGCUAGGUUUCUGCUUCUUACUAGGGGCUGAGGAUGGAAUGAAGGGGGAAGAGAAGAAGCCAGGCAAGGCUGAUUGUUCAUCUCUUGGAGGGCUCUGAGCACCUAGGUGGUGGGCGUGGGUGGGGGUAGUUGGAGAGGACUUUGGGUGGGAGGCAGGAGGGGACAAAGGAGCAUGCCAAGAAAGAGUGUUGGGGGGUGGUAAGAGUUUGAAGCAAGUUUGUCAGAGGAGGCGGGGCACAGGUGACCUCACUGUGUGGGGCAGAGAGCCCAAGCUCGUGAGCCUCAGCGAUGGGGAAGGAAGGGGUGAGAUAAGGCUAAAGGAGUCUAGAAGCUUCUGCUGAGGAGGCUGGUUUAUGUAACAAACCCUGGGAGUCACGAACACAGGAGGAUGAUUCAGUCAACACACGGUGCCCAGGGAGACGAUUCCAUCUUCCCUGGGGAGGUCCCAGGAGAGGAGCUACCAGGGCACGGCUGUCAGGUGUUAUUCUAGAUACUGGCCAAGAAAAUGAGCAGCCAGGACACUGAACCGCAGGAACUGGGCAGGGGAGGCUGUGUGGGGGGUUGUGUGGGAGGCCAGCAGCUCAGGAGCACAGCCUGAUGCCUGGGGGUGCUGGGCUGGGGCAGUAACGAUGAGGCUGGGGUGGGGAAGAGGUGACCAGGAUUUAGGGGACAUUGGGGAUGAACGGGGGUGGCGGGGAAGACACAGGAAAGAGGGAGAGAAAUGCUUUCUAGAUAUGAGAGAAGAGGGUUUUACAGCAGAUCCAUUCUGUCGAGGUCGUUUCCAUGUGAGGCUGUGCAAACCAGAAGUGGAAUCUAACACCAUUCUUACUCAUGGUUGCUGCUCUUUAAUUUUGUUGAUGUCAAGUGAUGAGACAGCACCCCUCCCCCACUCCUGCAGAACUGUCAGCUUUGCUGACAAGUACCCUACACUUCCUCUUUUCUGAUUUCAGAGAAGAGCUUUACUUUUCCUCUAAAAAAAGGGGAACCAGUUCCCUAAGCCAUCAGAACAGUGGCCUCUGAGGUUUGCCAAAGCACUGCCCUGGCUAUCUGGAGGGGCCUCCAGGCCCCCGUCCCCAGGUGCAGCCUGUUGGUGCAGCAAGAACAUUUUUCCUUUGUCUUAUGCAGUCCUAGGCCACUAGUUCUCCACUAUGAUUAAUAAUAGGAAGCUUUAAAUAAUCCUGUUGCUCAGGUAGCAGCAAAGAUCAAUUGAAUAGGAAUUUGAGGGGAGAGUAUAUUUGGAAGUCCCCCAGGAGGUUGCAGGACUGCCAACCUCCAGUGCAAGUAUGGGAUUCUGUAAAUGUUUCUGUUUACAAUGUGAAUUUAGUUCCGGCUUAAAGCUGGGCAGGGGUUCUUGAUACUCUAGUAUUUCAGAUGAGGGAAACGCAGCCUAGGCUUAAGGAAAGGUGAUCAGGGGAAAGGCCAUCACCAGCAUGAACUACUUCUGAGUUAGAAGGUUGUCCACUUCCUCCCUGUCAAAAAAAUGUACCUGGCCCAGGUCCCCAUUCUUAUUCCCCAGGGCCAGUAAGAAUUCCACUGGCUCUUGUUCUUCUUGCUCUAUUGGCUUGGUACAGACCCAGGCUCUUACGUACAAGUUCUAGUUCAGGCUGCUAUGUCAGAAUAGCAUAGACUGGGUGAUUUAGGCAACUGACAUUUGUUUCCCCCAGUCUGGAGGCUGGACGUGGAGAUCAGGGUGCCAGCAUGGUUGGGUUCUGGUGAGGGUGCUCCUCCUGGAUUGCAGCCUGCUGCUUUCUGGCUGUGUCCUUGAAUGGCAGAGAGGGGAGCUCUGGUGUCCUUUCUUCUUCUUACAAGAGCACUAAUCCCAUCAUGGGUUCCAUGCUCAUGGCCUUAUCAGAAGCCAAUUACCUCCCAGAGGUUUAACCUCCUAAUACCAUCACACUGGGGAUUAGGGCUUCAGCAUAUGAAUUUUGAGAAAAACAUUUAGUCCCCAAGAGCCUGGUUACUUUGUUCUACCAAAAGGUUUUCUCAUCCUUUUUAAAAAAAGGGUUAACAUAAUCUAGUGCAUAACUGGAGUUGGAGGGCUGACAGAUGUCCUGGUUGGAAAAUGUCUAAUACGAGGCCUGACUCAUAGCUGGACUCAACACAUCUUAGCCAUUAUUAUUGUUAAAAUGUAUAGUGCUUUUUGUUGUUCAGUUCAAAACUUUGGUAAUUUCCACAGUAACAUCAUUCCUUAGUAAUUCCUUAGUAAUUCUUUUACCUGGAACCCAAGGUCUGUAAUUACUUUUAAUUAUUUUAUGUGAGAAAAAAAUGUAUGUGCACAUGUGUAUUUCCCUCUCACUCUUGAAUGAAUGAUAAUUUUGCAGGGUAUAGAAUUCUACAUUGAUUGUAACUUUUUCUCAGGACUUUAAAAGAUUCUAUAUUUUCUAGUAUCUGAUGAUGUUGCUACUAUCAAAUUUCUAGGUAAUUUGUUUUAUUAUCUCUGGUAAAUUUUUUUUUAAACUUUACACAUCUCAUAGUUUCACUAUAAUGUAUGGACACUUAGAUACAACAUAGUGAAAAUACAAAUUCUUAUGUAUCCAUAGCUAGAGUUCUUAAUGAAUUCUAAUUGCAACAUUAGAAAAAUUCAGAUAUUACCUUCUUGAACAUUUCUUCACUCUUAUUCUUUCUCUUCUAUUUUUCUGGAAUUCUUAUUAGCUGUAUAUUGGCUCCUGUCAGUCUAUCUUAUAUUCUAUAGCUGCCAUUUCAUAUUAAAAAAUACAUUUUUUCUCUUUAUUUUGCAUUUUGGGUGAUUUCUUCAGUACUGACUUCUAAUUUUUUUCUGCCUUCUAAUUAAUGUUUCUGUAUUCUAUAAUGACUUUAUAGAGUUUAAUUGAGUUUGUGCAUCUAAAUGUCAAUAUUUUUUCAUCUCAUUUUUUUUUCAUAAUAUAGUUUUAUUUUUCUAUUUGAUGUUUCAUAAUUUGUGUUUUUAUAAAUGAUUGUAAGUCAUUCCUUUAUAUCUUUGAGAAUCCUAAGCAUUUCUUUAUAAUACUUGUUCACUACUUGGCAUAUUAUGAUUUUUAAAAAAACUUUAUUUUUGAGACAGGGUCUCGCUGAGUUGUUGAGGCUGGCUUUGAACUUGAAAUCCUCCUGCCUCAGCCUCCCGAGUCACUGGGAUUACAGACGUGUGCCACCAUGCUGGGCUUAUGUUAUAAAAUGUACAAAAAGGGUUCUUCCACUAGCAAGUAGGUGUCAUGAGGGCAAUAACUUUGAUUUGUUUAUUAUUGUUUCCUUAGCAACUAAAACAGUGUCUAGGACAUUGCAGGUGCUUAACAUACUUAUCUAUCUAAUCACCCGACUAUAUGUUCACUCCAUAAGAAGUGAAUUCAGUUCCUAUCAUUGCAUUCUCAAUUUUGGCUACCUUCUUGGUCUUGCUUUUGGGAAAGUUACUACUAAUUUUAUUCUCCCUGUGCUCAUCCCCUCCCGGGCUUGUGGUUUUAUAGGAGCUUCUUCUUGGUCCGCAGAGACCCCAGUUCUGAACCAGAUUGUCUAUGGUCAGCGCAGGCAUCCACGCUCUUUGAGGAUGUGGCAGAGUCUUUCAGUGGGCCACAUUCUUCCUCAAUUGGGACAAGAUAUGUACAAGCCUCAGCCCUCAUCUUUUCAAUGUCUGGUCCUUAAGUGUGGGAGCCCAGCAGUCUCUGGCUCGGAGACCCUUCUCAUGUGGUAGUCCCCUCUUACCUAGGAGAAAGUUUCUGCCGCCUCUGCCUGCCCUCUGACCAGGAGGCCAGGACCCAGCCUCAUUUCUGCCUAUAGUGUUAGUUCUGUGUUUCCCUGACCCUUGAUCUUUUUGUGCAAGGCUUUGAUGGUAAAAUUUUUGAUUUUUGUGUUUUAGCUAUUAUUGUUAAAUGUUUGGAAAGGGGAGGACCCUUGCAGCACGAGCUUAGAGUACCAUUGUGCCUGGAAGGCCUAUGACUAGAACUCAUUUGGCAGCUCCAUCACCAGGCCCCAGGGGUUUAGUCUGGAAAGUACAGAAUGCCGACAGAGGGGGCCGUGUUAAAGCUCACCUUGAUCCUCCUCCUCACUCAGGAGAGGAGGGAGCUCAGGCCCAGUGACUUGCUUGGGGCAAUGCAUUUCCUUAGUAGCAGAGCCAGGAAGGCAAACCUUGUUCUGCAGCCUGGCUCUUUGAACACCUGCCCUUGGACAUAUGAGUUCUUUCACAGCAUGGCCUUCCUGCCUUGCUGCUCUGAGCCACACAGUUUAAGGGCUUAGCUCUGGCUCUAUCCAGUCCUCUGGGGUCUUUCUCUUCCCCAGGCAUAUGGCACAUAAGAUGGGGGUGGGGUGGGGGGGUGGAGGGGAAGAAUGGGCUUUAAUAAUUACUUAGUGUUUACCCUGCAGUGGCUCUGCCUAGGGGAGGGGUCUUCUGUCAAUGGCUGUGUGAGUGCUAACAUUUUAUAUACACCACUGCCCUCUAGUGUCCAUAAUGAGCAUCAGCAUAUAGCCUGAAACCCUGAGACCCUUUUCCCUGCAUGAAGACAUACAUUUGAGUCCUAUUUAUUUGGUAUUGCAAUGCCAAAUAUAUAAAACAUAUAUAUUAUCAGAAGCUGUAAUUUACCUCUGUAAAGAUGUACAUAGAUCCCUAGGAGCCACAUAAACAAGGAAAAUACAUGUUCAACCCAUUUUAAUGAUAUCUUUUAUUUAAUCCAACAUAUCAAAAAUAUUAUAAUUUCAACAUAUCACCAAUAUAAAAUUAUUAAUGAGUCAUUAUGCAUUCUUAUUUUGGAACUCUGCUGUGAAUUUUAUGGAUGUCUCAGUUUGGUCUAGCCGCAUUGCAAGUGGGUCUAGUGCCUGCUACAUUAGACGACAAAGGCAACAUAUAGUGGUUUCUAAAAUCUGACUGUGUUUCUGCACUGAUGUAUGUAGGUCUAUGCGGAAAAUUUUCACCAAUAUGUAGCAAGAUAAGAGAAAUAUGAAGUAGGUUUUAAAUAUGUAAAGUAUUCUCAGCUAUUUUUGAGGCUGAGGCAGGAGGAUUGCAAGUUUGAGACCAGCCUGGCAACUUAGUGAGACCCUGUCUUAAAAUAAUAGAAUAGAAUAGAAUAGAAUAAAAUGGGGUGGGUAUGUAGUUAAGUGGUAGAGUGCUGCAUAGCAUGCAUUUUUUCUUACAAAAAAAUUAAUGUAAGAUUGAUUAUCUACUGUCUUUUUAAAGGGAAUGCUUAGAGAUUGUCCUUCUGACUUUGUUAGUGUUAAUAUAUUCGUUUUUUUUAUGAAGCAAUGGCCUUGGAAGAUGAUUAUUUAUUUAUUUUUUGCAAAACUGAGGAUUGAACCAGGGCUUGCUCAGGCUGGGAGGAUACUCUACCACUGAGCUGCCCCCGCAGCCCCAGAUGAUAUUGAUUAGUCAGGUGUUCUUAUUUUGGAAGUAGCACGUUUGCAAUCCUCUUCAGGGCUCCACACUUUUUGGACAUCUCUGUUAGGUGAUGUACUAAAUCCUGGGAACCACCAUGCUGGGUGGCUUGUUUUUCCCUGCUUGGACAACGAGUGGGACACAAGUCUGCAUGGUGGUGUUACUGGGCAAUUCUCAGCAUGUCAACUGUGCGCCACUCCUUCUGUCCGAGUAACUGCAAGAGGCUGAGUGGGAUGUGAAUGUGGGGGUAAACUUGAAUUUACUCUUAAAACAGUCACUAAGAGUAAGUUAUUUGCAAAAUCCAGUUCUACAGAUGACUUCACCAUAGGCGAGGAAUCCUUCACUCUCUAUUCCUGAAUAGGGAGGAACAAAACGCUAUUGAGCUGAGCACAGAGACUUUGUUGCCCUUUAAAUGCAGAGCACUGGAGGCUGAAAGAGAAAGCCACUCAUUUAUGGGAAAGGUCUUGAAUAACCUCCAGGCUUUGUAACAGGCAGGUCUCUGAAGUGGAGCUGGGUAGUUCCUUUCCCUGCCUGCAGCUGGGGUACAAAGGGAAGGAACCUGUAUUUUGGAAGCAGGAGUUUCCCCUCUGCACUCAGUAAGUGGCUGCGAAUUGCAGUCUGAUCUCAGGUCCCCUCAUCUCUAAUUGGUGUCCCCGUUGGUUCAUCAUGUGUCCCCUCAGGUCAUAGACUUGUCUCAGGCUUUGGACCUGAACUUCAAGGUGUCCUUAAAAGAUGCCUGCUGGCCACCUUGUUUAUAAAUGUAAGCCUUUAGCUGUGCUUAGCGCAGUCACUAGGGUACUAAUUAGCCAGUGUGUUUCUUUUUCAAAUACUGUGUAACAUUUAUGCUGGAGUCAUAAGUUGGAAAAGAUGCUAGCAGAUGGAAACUGUGUAAAUCAAAUAAUUUUGAUUGCUUUGGGAACUCACAAAUUGAAACAAUCCUAUGGUGAAUUCUUUUGUAGUUGGAAGGAGUGAUGGGCCCUCUAUUUGUUUUAAAAAUUCAAGUUUUAAUAUAUUAUCUGUCCUGAGGGGGAUAAAUCCACAUAUUAGUAAUAAAAAACAUGCAAAGGAAAGGUCCCAUCUUCCAUCAGGGCCCCCACCUGGCCCCGCCCAGGAUUUAAGGAGUGGUGUGUAAUCACCAUUAACCACUCACAAGCAAUUACACUAAGUGUUAAUGAAGGGACCCUAGUCACAAAACUGUGCCCAAGGGAAGCUUCCAUUUGAAAGUCAAGGUUAAUGGCCCAGCAGUUGUUUUAAUGGAUUUUCAAUGGAGUGUGAAGAUGACAGGCCAACAAGGGCAGGGCACAGCUAGCUUGCGGCCAUUAGUACCCUGGUCUUGCUUCUGUUUUUACUCCUUUAUGAUCCUGCUGAACAAGAUUCCCUGAAUAUUUACUGAUUACGUUGUGUUUAACAUAACUGAUAAAACCCGAGUUGGCUUGAGUGAGGUGCCAGCAUCUCUUUGCUUUCUCGGCAGAGGUGUGGACACAGCUUCCUUAGGUGGGGGAGUUCAUGGAGAGGCAGGGUGGUGAGUGACUGACCCGUUUCUGACUCCAGCACCACUCUUCAGGAUCUCAGGCUCUCUGGUCCUGCAUCUCCUAACACCUGGAGACCUCACCCUUAGGUACCCAGCCCCCAGAGCCCUGACCUGCUGCUUUCUAGUCCUCUGGAGUUAUUGGGUCCCCACCCUGAGAGGAGUGAAGGGUUUGAAUCCUGCUCCAACUCUCUUGGCAAGUCCUUGGCCUUCCUGUUCCUCAGUUUCCUCAUCUGCAAGACCGGUGCCCAGAGCCUGUGGGCAAGCAAUGCAUGUUGUGUGGUUUCCAUGCAGGGACUCUGUCUGCUUCCCUCCUCUUGACUCCAUGUCUUUGGGCUCAAGGACUUUGAUUCCCACUCUAGCACUGCUCUUGAUUUUUCUUUCCCUAGCCAAGUCCCUUCUCUCAGAAAGGCUAUAUAAACUUGAGUCUUGCUUAAAAAAUGGUCUCCUAACUUAGAAAUUUUGUAGACUGUGGGCGGCCAAAUCAAAUGAGCUGGUUAUCAACUUAUUUUUUGUAAAUAAGUUUUAUGGGAACAAAUUAUGCUCAUUUAUUUAUGUGUUGGCCAUGGUUGGUUUUGUGUUACAAUAGCAGAAUUGGGUAGUUGCGACAAAGUAAGGUCCAUGAGCCUCAAAUAUUUACAGAAAAACUUGGCCCUUCGCAGAAAAAAGCUUGUUAAUCUCUUGCCAUUCUGGGUUGAAUUGUGUGUCCACAAAGAUUGGUCGAAGUCCUGACCCCUGUAUCUCAGAAUGUGAUCUUAUUUGGAAAUAGGAUCUCACAGAGAUAAUCAUUUAAAACAAAGUCCUGGAGUGGGCCCUAAGCCAGUGUGACUGGUGUCUGUGGCAGAGGAGGUCCAAGGAGCCAAGCGGCAACCAGUUACCAGUUCUUAAGAUCCUGCUGGAGAAUAUCAAGCGAGUCUCCAAGAAUAACAGACAGGAAUUUAUUAGGAAGAGUGAGAAGUGAGGAUCACGCAGCAUAUAGGAGCUGCACAGGUGCCUCUGGAGAGGAUGGUGUGGCUCUUCCAGAGUUGGGGUCUUUGAGGAUUUGGGGGUCCCUUGGUUCUUGUUCUAGUGUCUCACAUCCCUCAAGUAGCUUAUUAUCCCUUUAUCAGCUCUUACCAAAUUUUCUUUGUGAGGGUCAUGAUGACCUGGUCACAAAGGGUGGGUGAGAAAAGGUUUCAGUGAUGACCUGAUUCAAGGGGAGGGUCAUGAUAACCUGGCCACAGGGGUGGUGUGACAUCAUCUUAAAGCUGUAGUUCCCUAAGGGGUUAUACUUAACUAUGGCUGGGGGAGAUUUGGCUUCUAGUUCCCAUUUUCCACCUGCUCGCCUGUUUUGAUAAAAUUUCCUCUGACCUAUGGACUCUCUCCAGUGCAUUUGUCUCCAGUGCUCCAAGUUACCACCCUUCAAUGACCUUCCCUCUGGCCACCUGCUCAUGGUUAAAGCUAACCACCUAACUGUAUCCUUAUAAACAGGGAGCACAGAGACACACAUGCAGAGGAAAGAUAGAGCCUGGGCUCUAUUCCAAUGUGCACCACAGUCAUGCAAGUUGGCACCUUCUCGUGCUAGGGACCAUCCGAUGCUGUGCAUUUCCCUGACCUGCAGCAUCAUCUGCCCAUCCAACCUGAGGCUUUGGAUCUAUGAUCCGUCUUCCUCCUCCUCCAGUGGUUAUAGAUUCUUCCACAUCGUGGACAUCUUGUCCAGUUGUGCCAGAAUUGUGGAAUCACUGUAGGGGAAUCAGAAAGGCCCAUUUGUCUCCAUGGCCUGGAUGUGCUUCCUUUGGGAGCAGAGAGCUGGUGAGGAGCCCUGCUGGACCCCUGCCCAUCUGCAGGCAUUGGAUAGAGUGCCAUCUGGGUUUGGCUCAAGGACACUCAGGGUCUGGGUACUGGGGAGGCAGUGGAAGUGAUAAGAAAAUACAAGGGAGGAAAAGAAAGCAGGCGGAGGGGGCGUUACGGUUGAAUGUUCCCAACCAAAACUCACGCUGGCAUUUUGCUGUGGCAGAGAGGGUGAAAGAAGAGGCUUGGAGGAAAUUAGAUGACAAACUCUGCCUCUUAUUUAUUUGCUUGAAGAUUAAACUGUCCACAGCUAUUAAUUGUUGAGCUCUUCCCUGGGCAGAUCUGGGACACAGUGAUCAAAACUGUCCCCUUCAAACAAAGGCGGUGCGGAAAUGGUCACUGUGGUGUCAUUUCUGGCAGAAAAGGGUGCAAACAAUCCAAAUAUUCAGCAGUGGUUGAAUAGACAAAAAGGGGGGUGUCCACACCGUGAAUAUUCUUCAGCCAUAAGCGAAACUUGUACUGACACAUACCGCGGCAUGGACGAACUUAACAUCACGCUGAGUGGGAGAAGGCAGACGUAAGAGGCCACAUGUUGUACGAGUCCUGUUAUAUAAAAUACCCAGAAUAGGCAAAUCCGUAAAGACAGAAAGCAGAUCCACGGUUGCAUGGGCCAGGAGAGGGGGGAACCGCGUUACUGCUCGGCGGGUUUGGGUUUCCUUUUGCGGUGGUGAGAAUGUUCUGGAGCUAGAGUGGGGAUAUCACACAGCACUGUGAACGUAGCCAAGGCCACUGAAUCAUACAUUUUAAGAUGGGACAUUUUGUAUUAUUCUGCCAUGAUUAUAAUUCAACAAAUCAUGGGAUUGCAAUGGAGCAAAUUCUGCGUAUUUAUGAAUAUGUCAGAAUGCAUCUAACUAUAAUGUGUAGCUAUAAUACACGAAUGAAAUCAUUAAAAAAUCAAAAACCCAGAGUCCUUGGUCCCUGUGUUUAGGUGAGAAGAGAUACAUAAUCAUCAAAGAAACAAAUUUAACCCAAGUGCCGUGAAGACGUGGAAGAUAGGCUAGGGGAUCAGGGAGGGAUAGGCGGGUGCUGUUUUAUGAGCGGCCAAGGUUGUGUUUCUGGGUGGGAUGUGGGGAGAGAGGCAGCACAUGGCCAGGAAGAGACCCUUGUGGGCUGAGGAUGCAGAAUGGGCAAAGGCUCUGAGGCAGGAGUACGAGGAGCAUUGGGAAUGGUGAGGCUCCGGGGUUGGACCUGCGGUUGGCUUUGCCUGUCAAGAAAUACUAAUUAGAGGUGUACCAUGGGUUGCUUCUGUCCUGGGUGGUGGUACAGCUGAGCAGGAUCCUGCAGAUCUGGGACUCAGUGGGGCUUCUGUCGGGCCUCUUGAGCGAGGUGCCUAGGUGGUCCUUACUGAUCAGCAUGCUGGAUUUCAGGUGGGUGAGUCCCCUGUUCUCCCCACUGCCUGGGGCCUCCUGUCUGACUUGGUCCAUUUCCUGCUUCUCUAACUGAACUGAAUAAUUUAUAAUGAUGAAGGUUUGUUUAUUGGGUUCAGGGUUCUGAAGGCUGGAACAUCCAGGAUUGGGCCAUGGCAUCUGGCGAAGUCCUUAUCCCUAGAGGGACCCUCUGCAGGGUCCCAAGGUGGCACAGGACACUGCAUGGCUACCCUGAAUGUCCAAGCUUAGGUCUCAUCUCCUCUUCUUGUAAAGCCAUGGUCCCACAGGAUGAGGCCCCAACCUCAUAUCCUCAUUCAACCUGAAUCACCUCCCAGUGAUCCACCCCCAAUACCAGAGUCAGACUUGAGUUUCAACUCCUGUUCUGUGCCACAAAGGGCUGAAUGCCAGCGUGAGUUUUGGUUGGGAACAUUCAACCGUAACGCCCCCUCCGCCUGCUUUCUUUUCCUCCCUUGUAUUUUCUUAUCACUGUUCAACACAUUGUAGACCUGUUUGCUGUGGUGAGUUUUAUGUGUCGACUUGGCUAGGCUAUAAGACCCCAGUUACUCAACCAGACGUCAACCUAAGUUGCUGUGAGGUAUUUGUGUGGAUGUGGUAAACCUCUUCAAAUCAGUUGACUUUAAGGGAGAUAGCCCUCCAUGGCUUAGUGGGCCUCAUCUACUCAGUUGAAAGGCUUUAGAAGAAGCAAAACUGAAGAACUUCUGCCCCAAGACUCCUGCAUGAGUUUGCAGCCUGCCAGCCUGCUCCAUGGAUAUCAGACUUGCUGGUGCCCACAACUGUGUGAGCAAUUCCUUGAAAUAAGUCUCUUUAUGCCGAUGUAUAAUACACACACACACACACACACAUUUGUAUCUAUACAUCACAUCCAGUCUGUCCCCUUCCCACUGGUCUUGUUGUCUGGAGAAGGCUGAUUGAUCUGUGUAUCAAUCUGUUGAUGGACUUCUCACCCUUCCUCCCCCAGAUGCCAUCUCCUCCAAGGCCGCCCAGUUAGGGUCUUUGUUUCCUUCCCAGACGUGUCUGUGCUGUGUAGGAAAGUGUCCGGCAAUAGUUGGGUGUGCACUGUCCAACAGCCAGUUCUCCAGAGUUCUCGUUUGUUUAUGUGCUUGGUGGCUCAAUCUGGAAUUCAAGAGAAGGGACAAAAUGAGAAAAAGAGAAGGAGAAAAAGCCCAAUGCGGUAGUCUCCUCUGAGGCUGGGAAUGUCCCCCUGGGCCCAGUGUUGUGCAUCUCGCCAUUGCCAUCGUCCUUGAUGUGUCUGCAGCUGAGAAAAAGUGAUGACCGCAAAGAAGGUUGCAGAUUUAAACCCGAGUUCAUGUUCUCCUAGCAACGGGAGCACCCCGGCUGGGCAGAGGGAGCUGAGCACCACUGCUGCUGGGGCAAUUCCUGUUGCUAGGAGAACAGUGGCUGGGGGCUUCUGGCAGGUGACUGGUGGAUGUGACCUUUUGUUCUCCAGCAAGUUGAGGGGAGGAGGAGACAGGUGAGGGGCAGAGAGGGGAGAGGGCAGAAGUGCUGAUUCUCUCUCUCUCUCCUCUCCUCUCUCCUCUCUCUCUCUCUCUCUCUCUCUCUCUCUCUCUCUCUCUCUCUGUGUGUGUUUAGGAAUUCGUGGUUAGUGAAACGCCUCUUGCUUCAGAAUAUGUCCCAAAUGGGUUUGCAAUUAGGGACAGAGUCUGUAGGAGCUUACAAAACGACCAAUUUCCUAUACUGUUUGGCUCCCAGCACCCACAGACCAUCUGGAUCAGCUGAGGAUGAAAUGCCGGGGAGUGGGUGGGGGUGGGGGAGUGGGUGGGGGUAGGGGUAGGGGAGUGGGAGUGGGUCCCAGGAGUGAGAAAGAGCAAGCUGGCACUCCUUGGGUGGGGAGUGAUUUGGCUUUCCAGAUUUUUCUUGACAAUUCUAUUGAGACCGUCCUGACCUUGCUUCUUCUUCCCACGGUCACGGCCAAGGCACAGCUGAAAACCAAACCAGAUAGUCCAAGGCAGCCAGAAGAGCACCUGCUCUCCCGGGCAGCCUGACUCUUACUUUGCCUGCUGGCCUGGAGGGGUGGACCGUGUGGGAUGGUUGAGGGCUGAGAAUGGGGAGGGCAGGUUCUCCUAGCAAUCUGCCCUUCAUGGGUGCUGUUUCCUACUCUCAGCCCCCCUCUGUGUUACUGCAGCCAUCUUGCCACAGGAAACUCCCUCAGAGGCCGAGCUGUGGGAGGAGGCCAGUCUGAGGGACAUUAUCCACUAUGGGGUUAGAGGAAAACACAUAAAGUAUUGCUUUGUGCUGAUUUUCUGAGAGAAUGACCAGAAGAACAUGAAUUCAGUUUUCUCCCAGGGAAACCUCUGGGCAGCUGUGUUCAUCAAAUGGGUUUUAUUUCCCUUUCAAUCACAUGGAAAGAAUAUCAACUGAAUUUCCGUCACAGCAGAUGGGGCCGUGGGACUAAGCUAUCAGCCAUUGGAAGAUAGGCUAAUGGUGCACCAGUUGCUGACUGGGUCCCAAGGACCUAGCAUGGGACCCCAAGACCCUGCAGAUGGUGCGGUCAGCAGGCUGCAGCCUGGGUCCCUAAUGACUGCAUGGCACAGACACCUCCACCCUCCAUUCCUGUAAUGGUCAAUAUGAAUUGUCAACUUGAUUGGAUUAAGAGAUGUUGAGGAUUAUGGGUGUGUCAGUGAGGCGUGUCUAGGAAUGAUUGACAUGUGGGAUAGCCAACUGAAGUGGAGAUCCUCCUUAAGCAUGGGCAGCACUGUUCAAUAGGAUGACAGCUUGAAUGGAAUAAAAGUUGGAAGAAUAAGGAAGCAGCAGGAGAUGCAAACUUGAUUCUUCUUGAACAUCUUCUUGUUUGUUGAUCAUCUGAGGAUAUCAGACUCUUUCUUCUUCACUCUUCCAAAGCGGACUUUGACAGUGACUCUCCAGCUGCCUUCAGUGUCCUAUGAGGGUAGCACCACUGAUCCCUCUUGUUCUGGGGCUUCAGCCUCUUGGACUGUGCAGCUACGAGUUCUUCCAGCUCUGCAGCCUGCAGAUGGCCACUGUGGACUAUCCAGCUUCUGGUUGUGUAAACCAACCUAAUAAGUCCCCUUUUAUAAUUAUACUUUUUGUUGAUUCUGUUCUUCUGGAGAACCUUGACUAAUACAGUUCCUAUGGGACUGUGAGAGAAGAACCAGCCUUUGUGUGCUGAGCCCCUGAGCUUAGGGCCUGCUUAUGAUAGUCAGGUUGUUCUGAUCAAGUAACAGAGCAUGCGGGAAGGUAUGUGACAGGAUCACUUUUGUGGGUAGAGGGAGAAGUGGUGAGAUUUGGCAGGGGUGUUUCCACCAGGAGCCUCCUGGUGACAGAAGGAGUGAGAUGGAAUAUGCUACCCUAAACUGAGGAAAGGAAACUAGUGUGACAGUGAGUGAGUGAGUGUGUGUGUGUGUGUGUGUGUAAAUCAGAGCAGACACCUCUGGUGGGGCCCCUUCUGAACUGCAAUUAAAGAGAAUAACAAAACUCAAUUUCUACUGCACACUUUGCUAAGUGCUUUCUCAUAUAAACCUCAUGACAUUCCAAUGAGAGGAAAUAUUAAUCCCAUCCCAUUCUUUAGGCGAGGAAACUGAGGUUGACAGAGAUGAAGGACUGUCCCCAGUGUCUCCAGAAAGUAAGCGGCAGAGGCAGGAUGCAGUUGAGGUACCCUGGCUCUUGGCCUGCCUCUUGACCACUGGGUCCACCCUCCUGGAAUGUGCAUGGAUACCCGGUUAGCGAAGACAGAGCCUUCCACUGUUAUCUUUGGUUGUCUAAAACAACCAGUCCUUUGGAUGACUCAGUGUUCCAGGUUGUUAGAGAAGCCACGCCAUUGGACCGUCCCUGCAAUGGCACCAGUGCUCCUGGAAAUCUCCCAGAGGGAACGGGAGUGUUUGGAGGUGGGGGGUGAGUUCAGAAGGGGGAACCUGCAGCAUUCACUGCAGGAUUAGAGGAAGGGUCUGGGAUAGACUCUGUAGCUAGACGUGUGUCCUCUGAGCCCAGCACCUCCCUGGGGGUGUCUGGCCUUGGCCAUCAGAGGGGCCUCUUGGUGGGGAGAGAAGGGGCUUUCUGGAUGGCGUCCUGGGAAGGGUGUUGGGAAUCACAUCCUGGAUGUCCUUACGUCUUACACAGGAGGGGCCAAAGUUUGUUGAGUCCACAUCCUACUUACAGGGGCCUACUGUGCACCAGGUCAUGUCUAGAUGCUGGGGAGGCAACAGAGAGAAAAUGGCUGGGUGUCUGCCCUCAGGGAGCCCUCAGGCUCCAUUCUAAAUGAUGGGUGGUCUGCCAGAGGAUGAGCUGGAGGCCCUAGGAACUGCAGGGUUGGGACAAAGUGGGAGAGGGCUCAGAUGAGGGAGCCCAGAAGCCCCUAAAAUCAAGCCAUACACUUUGGGGAGCCUCCAUGACUUGUGUUUCCAGACACCAAGAAGCUUUUGUAGCAGUAAUUUGCCAGAACUCCCAAGAGCAUCUGAGGCCGGGUGUGGGAGAGACAAGCAAUCCCACCUGCUGCCUUCCUCUGAGAGCCAGAGAGGAGCUCUCGAGUGUAGAGAAUUCUUUUUGGGGCCGGCGGGAAUUCUGCUGAGAACAGGCUCCUUCCAUUUUCAAAGUCACUUUGGGAUCUAUGUUUGAUCUUCUCAGUGCUGCAGGCAUUUGGAUGGAGCUAAAGCCUUCUGUUGAAUUAGGGAAAAAAGCAAAAAAAAAAAAAUCAAACGCGUUGGUGGGUCUGGUGCCUGGAGAUACGAUUUGCCCUCUGGGACACUGCGUGGAGGUGGCGUCCCCACUCCCCUUGGGCUCUAGUGCUGCCUUGAAUAGGAACAUUUCAUAAUGUGAGCGCUUGCUGCUCAACUGAUGCUUCCCGUGGGGUGCAGGCCGACGCCAUGUCCUUGGCCCUUAAGCAGAUGUGUUCCAAGCAGGAGCAGCCUCUCAGCACCAAGGAUCUGUCCUCUGUUCACCUAAGCAGGUCUGGAAGUGGGAGGCCACACCAGGGAGCGUUCUGAUUCUCUUCCUGUUCCCCGUAGGCAACGGGACCCCACAUACUGUUCUGGGUUCAAUGCAAAUCACGUUAACUUAUAGCCAAGUGGCCAGAGUUCCAGAAAUCUCCCUUUCAUGGUUGUCUCUCUUGAGUGCCAACCCUCUCCUCCCACUGCCCCCUGGAUGCCCUGCUACACUUCAAAAUCAUUAUGUCCUCUGUUCACUCCAUUAUUGCUUAUUUAGAGUCUUCCACGUGUGUGGCCUUGCUAGGGGCCGGAGAUAAAGACUUAGGAAGAGAUGGCCUUUGCUGUGCCGACAGUUUCUGUCAACUGGUCACAUCCUUCCCUCUAGCCAAGCAUUCCUUGGGCAGCAGGCUGCAUUGGCUCCACAGAACUCUCAGCAUCUGGGAGCUAGAAGACAGUGGGUUCUCCAUAAACACUGCUGCAUCCACGACGGAUAAAUGGACACUGUUCUUCAGAAGACUGCAGGGUGAUGGGAAACGAGAAGAGAAGCGGUGACUGCAGGUCACCAGCACAAGGGUCAGGGUGGAGGCAGGCGGAGGGCCUGUUAAGGAAGGAGGACAGUCAUCUGACUUGAGGGCAGGCUCAGGGUCACUUCCAGACACAGCUGUGAGCCAAAGAAUAAUCCAGAGUCGGCCUGGUGAACAGGGUAGGGGACUGGGGAAGGACAUUCCAGGCUUUGACACAGGUAGCAUGGGGGGAAGUAGCUGAUUGACAGGACAUCCUGGGAGCAGGGACAGGAGUGAGCUGGGGCCCAGGGCAGCUGGCCAUGCUUCCUUCCCUGAUCCUGGGGAGGGCGCCAUUCUCCUGGAGACCUUUCUCUGAGCUUCCACCCUCCACCCCAGCACACCUUCUCUGGGGUCUGGUCCUGGGGUUUGAGCUCCCCUCCCACCUUCCAUUUUAUUUGCCUGGUUGCCGUCCUGCCUCCCAGCCACUCCUCUGGCCCCUGUCAUGUUUGGCGCCCACCCAUCCUGCAUCUUCUUCCUGGAGCUCACACUCUGCUGCUGACGGCAGCCCUCCCUCGCUCCAUGGGGUCUCAGAGGAGAUGUCUGUCCAGGCUCACCCAGAGGCUCCAGCAUGCCUUGGAAGACCCUCACAGAGGAGGAAGAUUUGGAAGAAAAUCCCGAGAAGCAGAAUAGAUUGGACAAAACUACUGUGAAGCAGAGAUGCCUGGGGCCUGUCCUAUCUUGAGGUUCUAGGUCUUGGUCUCUGAGAUGGGAUGAGAUUUGGCCUCAUGAUCCUCGGCUGCGCUUCCUGUCCUGGGGAUCAGAAUGGGGCUGGUGGAGAGAUUCAUUCUUUCACCAGGAUCACUGCUGUACAGUGGGUCGAGUGCCAGUGUUCAUGCAAAUGCUGAAUAGAUAGAUGCCAGUGGCUAACAGGGAUGUCACAGGUCAUUGCAAACUUCCAUAAUUCUGCCUUUGAAGUGGAUCAAUAGGGUCUCUAGGCUUCUACGGCAACCUCCAAAUGUUUUGGGGGAAUCGUAAUGUCUAUUCCACUGGUUUCCUAAAGAGCAAGCUGUCUUCUAAAUUCUAUAUAGUAAAAUCCCUAAGAUCAUUUAAAUUUCCCAUAUGGAGCUUUGUAUUUUUGGAUCUCAGCUGCAUGCUCCUUUCCCCUCCAAAUAAAAACCUCUUGAUGAGGAGAUUUUAAUAGUCAGAACUUGAGGGUCCUACUCUUUAGGUGUAUUGAUAUUUGCCUGUAUUCAUUUAUGUGCUAGUCAGUUUUCUGUCACUGUGACAGAACACCUGAGAUAAUAAACUUAUAGAGGAAAGAUUUAUUUUGGCUCUAGGUUUCGGUCCAUGGCCCCACUCCACUGCUUUGGGUGUGUGAAGAGGCAAAACAUCAUGGUGGGGAGUGUGUGGUGGAACAAAGCUGCUCAGCUCCUGGCGGCUGAGAGGGAACGAGAGAGAAGGAAAGAGAGGCUGAGACUGGGGUCCCAGUAUCUCUGUCAAGGACAUGCCCUGGUGACCUAAUUUCCUUCCAUAAGGCCUCACUUCUAGAUGAUUCCACCGCCUGCAGGUGAGCAACCAUCUUCAAUACCUGACCUUUGGGAAACACUGAAGAACAAACAAUGACAGCCUGGCCAUUAAAAUCAUUGUGGACAAGGAAUUCUGAAUAACGAUUUUUGACCUUCGGAAUGCUUUCAUCAGCAUUAUCCCAUUCCAGUCUCAUCCCCACAGUCCCCCAGAGGAAGCUGCCGUAGGUUUGUAAUUCUAUCAUUUUCUUCCCACAGACUUGCGUGGAGGCACAGACCAACGGGCACACAGGAGCAGGCGGAGCUGGAACUGGAUUCUGGACUCUUCGCCCUGGAUGCUGUUCCCUAAAAACUCAGCCAGGAGGCGCGCUGCAGGGCGACGCGGUGCAGAGAGCUGUCUUGUCUGACUGGGGGUGUACAGGUGUGGCUCUGAGAGGGAGCCCCAGCCCCAAAGCGUCCUUUCCUUGGAGAGGACACCCUGGGGUGUCCUAAACACAUGGACACAGGCCUCUCUGCAUCUCCCAGGUCACUGCUUUCUGUACUGAAUGAAUGACUUCCUGUGACCUAGAGUCUAGCCCCAGUGCUUCUGUUGAGGGCUCCUUCCUUUGCCUGUUCUCCCUUUAGUCCGCCAAGGCUCCCUCCCUGGCCUCCGGCUCUGCCGUCGGCCUCCGCCGCCGGUUCCGCGGGCCGCCACUGGGUGGCGCAGCUGCCCGCGCGUGCUGAGGGGCCGCGGAGCGGUGCAGCCAGCCUCGGCCUCCCAGACCUCCAGCCAGCAGCCCGGCCGCCUUCUGUCGGCCUAGGCUCCGGCUCCUGGGGCUGAGGAGGUCGGGAUGGUGUCGGCAAAGAGCAGGGUCUCCAAGCUCUGCCAGGGCAAUGGCUCUUUCCCCCAGGGAGUCCUCUCUGGGGUGCAGUGAACUGGACAACUGCAGAGAAGAGAAGGGUCUCUGCACAGAGAUGGGGUGUGUGUGGGGGGGUGGGGGCGUCUUCAUCGGAGCACACACUGAGCCCUUCUCUGCGCCAGGCAUUUUACAAACGUUAACUCAUUAAAUUCUCACAUCAACCCUACAGGCCUCAUUUGACAGUGGAGGACACUGGCACAGGUUGUCUGGCUAGUCAGUGGCAGGCCCUGGGUUCUAACCCAGGCAGUCUGACGCCCCCCAGCCUCCGCUCAGGGAGGAGGUUGGGGAGGAGGCAGGCAGACCCGGGCCUGGGGCUGUGCCUGUCGUCAUGACUUUGAUGCCCCUCUGUCCCUUCACUCACUCAGUUUUCCAACUGGCCAGGCUGGGCAUGUGGCCCUUGCUGUAUGCCCUGUGACACCAGCCACGGUCCUUGCCCUGUGGAGCUGGUGGGGGAGACAGAGAUUAACCAAAAAACAAAAACCAACAAAUAACAAAACAACACAAACCAAAGAAAAAAUAAAAAAAUAAAAAAAAAUCACACUUGUGACAACUGCCGAGAUAAGUGUCCUGGAGAAAGGGGUCUUCCUCUCUUUUAUCCGCCUCUUCCUCCUCUUCUGGGUCCUUCUCCAUCCCUCCUGUCCCAGACCCACAUGGCAUAUCUGAACACAGUGCAGCUGUUGAGAAGCCAGCUCAGAUCUAGGGAUGGAUGGCGACUGGACUAGGGGCGCAGCCCUUUGUGACUUAGAAGGCGGGUCACAUUCAUUGUCUUGUUUGGUCUUGUCCAGGGCCAGCUGGUGAGUCUCCUGGGGAGGCACCUAACAGGAGGUGAUGCUUUAAUCCAUGCAGAUUUCUGGGGAAACUGCGAAGGGUCUUUAGUUUCAGACUUGGGUUUGAAUCUAGGCUGUCCUUGGGUCCACCCCGGGCUCUGGGUUCUUUUUGUGCUCCUGGGUAAGUCACCCACCUCUAAGCCUGGCUCUACUCUGGGAGCCUGGAGAGGUCUGACCUCUGACCCUUGCACGGAUCUUUCCAGAGGAGCCGGCAUUGCCAUGGGCCACAGGUCCUCUGAGGGCUCAUUAUCAGAAGAAUCAGCUGAAAUAUGUCCCUUGAGCCACCUGGCACCCCUGCCCAGCCAGCAGGAUGGGGGCUGGGUCACAGCCAUCAGGCGCUCCUUCCGGGAGGUUCCCCUGGCUCCUCCCCUGCUUUCUGGAGCAGGGUGGAGGGAGUGCCAAGGUAAUGACGUGGCCACACCAAACCUAAAGUCAUGCCUAUACAUGGCAAAGGGAGCCCUCUGGCCUGUCCCCAUGCGGCAUGCAUCCAUCAUCAGUCCUGCCAGCCCCAGCUCUGCUGCAGCUGGACGGCCUCCCCAGGAGCUUUCACUGGGAGGAUGGCCCCUCCCCAGAGCUCCUGCUGCCAGUCCCCAGCUCACACCCCUGCACACCCCUGCCCCAUGUCCCCACUUCCCUUCCUGCUUUGUGACUCUGUCUUUCUCCCAGGGUGCAUCCUCAAUGCGAGGCGCCGGGCAGCCUGGUGGGCACGGAGGGAGCUGCAGGAGCUCUGCGCUCACUGUCUGCGCAGUUUACCCCUCUCCCCCCAGUUCCUCCCCGCACCUGCCCACCAGAGGAUGCGAACAGAGGAGGCAAAGCUCUUCUCCCUGUUCUCGGGGUGCGUCUGAGCCUUGAGCCCUACUGAGCCCACCCUCCUUGUCCAUUGCCUGUGUCCUCUCCAUGCCCAUCACCACUGAUUUCCCUCGUCGGUCCCCACCUGGACCAUUGCUGUAAAUUGCUGCCGGGGCUCCUGUCUCUGGCCCUCCCCAUCCUCUCCAACCGAGUGUGUGCUCCACUGUAAAUCUCCUCACAUCCUUUCAUCCCUCCCUUCCUUCAACAAAUGUGCCAGGUAUUGCUCCAGGUACCUGGAACCAGGAGGAGAUGGCCAUGACCAAGACAGACAAGGUUCCAAGUGUCCUUGGGUCACUCUGUCCCACUGUCCCCAGGGGUUUCCAGGACCCUGGGGUGAGGCCUCCACACCUCACUUGGGCCUUUGGAGUGUGUGGGUAGCAGACUAUUUUUGCAGCCCCUGGUUUUCCUGUGAGCUCAGCUCUGGCCUCGCUGAUGGCUCUGAAUCCUCUGUCCAACACGGCAGGGCAGCGCUCUGGUCUGGAGUGUGCUCUUUGCCUUCUGCCUCGGUUUCACGGCCAGCUCUGUGCUUCUGCACUGUUCCUCUCACAUGCCUGGUGUCCCCUAAACCAGAGGGAUUGAGGGACUGAGAAAGUCAGAAGAGGCCCUUUACAGAAUUGAGCUCAGAGUCUCCAAAGUCAACCUUUCCAAGCCACCGACGUCCUGGAGUCACCCCUUCCUGUCCUUUGCCCAAGCUUUAAGCAGGAUUCUGUUGACUCGUUUAGAAAUGAUCUCAGUGCGUCCUACGUAGCAUCUGCUGUUAUUGCUACGGGCAGGUGACCCUGCCCCAUCCAAAACUCCUCACAAGAGACUUUGAACUCCUUGUUUUGGAAAGCUUGGGAUAAAGGUUCAUGAUUUCAAGACAUCUUGUGACACCUCCUGACCUACUAGUUUCAAUGAAGAACACUGCGAAAAAUCCUGUUGAAAAUUAUUAUUACAAGACGGGAACCGAAAAAUAAAAAAGUAGGGGAGGAAGGAAAGGCCCAGAAGCCUCCAUUGGCCAAUCUCAGACACCGGGAGCAUCCCAGCUCCACCCUCAAUAAUGACCUCAGGCUGCUGACUUGUCCUCUUGGGGCCUGAUUUCAACCACGUUAGAGCUGUUCUCUGAACCAAAUGAGGCAGUCCACAUAGACAGGCUUCCUCAGCGCCCAGGUGGUGGAUGCUGAGACACAUCAGGGAGGCAAAGCCAAGCCCUUCAGAGCAGCCUGCCAAGGGGGGCUCAGCUCAUUAUUCACAGCAGGUCCACAGCCAUUCUGAAGCCUAGAAAGCUCUGGAAGUCUGAAGUUUUCUACUUGUUUAAAAGAACCCAAUCUGGUAGCAGCCUGCGACCUGAUGGAUGCUGCCCUGUGUACGUGUGUCCACUUGGGUGGAUGUUGACAGUCUCUGCAAAGCCCUCAGGAUGUUUCAUUAUUAGGGGCAAGGCAGACCCCAGGGGAUCACACAGAAUGUACUAGAGUUUUGCUCUAAAAUGUGAACAUUCUCGGUUCUGAAAUGCUUCUGGCUCCAAGGAUGUGGUAUUUCAGAUUUGUUUUAGAAAUUUCUUUAGAUGAAAAAAACUCUCGAGGUCUGAGAAGGAUUCUCAUGGUCUUUGAGAAAGGAUCCUUGAAUCCUAUAAUGAUACAUUCAUUCACCCAACAUAUAUUUCUUUUUUCUUUAUUUUUAGUAUCUAUUUUUAAAUAUCUUUAUUCAUUUAUGUUUACGUGGUGCUAAGGAUCGAACCCAGUGCCUCACAUGUGCAAGGCAAGCGCCCUACCACUGAGCCACAGCCACAGCCCCCCAACACAUAUUUCUGGUUGUUUGAAAAUAAAAUAAUGCAGACCUACCCUUUUCCAGUCAUCAUGGAGUGCUUCUGAAAUCCUGAAUAGAAUAAGCGCAUAUUGGUCUCUGAUAAGGCCCAGCCUCUGCCUUUGUUUUCUGCUUUUUAAAAGUUAGGUAAAAAGCAAUAGUGCAUACCUAUAAUCACAGAUGCAUGGGAGGCUAAGGCAGGAGGAUCACAAGUUUAAGGCCAGGCCGGGUAAUUUAGCAAGAAACUGUUUUACAAAAGAAAAAAUGGGUUGGGAUGUGACUUGGUCUUGUUAGGGCUCUUGCGAAGCAUGUGUGAGGCCCCAGGUUUCAUCCCCUGUACCAGAAAAUACAAACAAAUAGAAAAACCAAUAGUUGAAAAAUUUUACUAUAAUCAAAAGUCAUUUGACUGGAGUUAACACAAAUGUUCUGGUAGCACCAUGACUGAAUAAAAGGUUCACUAACAAUCAAUCUCAAAAGUGACAUUACUGAAAAAAGUACACAGAAUAAGAAUCCUUCCCCUCCCUGGGAUUCAGUUUCCUCCUACAAAAUCUGGAUAGCAAUUGCACAAUUCAUGGGGUACUUAUGAGGUGCUAGGUAAGUACUAAGUCUUUUAUAUAGUACUUUACAUAACUCACUUAAUUCUCAAAACAACUUGAUACGUUAAAAAUCCCUUCGUUUUCUAGAUGAGGAAAAUGGGGAACAGAGAAGUUAAGUAAUUAGACCCAGGGUACCCAGCUACUCCAUGGUGUAUAUGAGGUUUGAACCUAGGCAGUCUGGCUCCAGAGAGCAUGUCUAAUUAUAGCGGUUCCUCCUCCUCCUGCUUCCUCUUUCUUAGUUGCUGAAAUGCUAAUUGCCAAUCAGCCUAAUGUAUACCUUUAAAUAGCCCCACUAUUUCAUUAGUUUAGCUAACUGGGAGGCCAUGUGUUCAGUUGCUUUUUUUUUUUUAAAUUUUUUUAGCUCUUUGUUUGUCCAUUCAUCUGCCUGUCUGUCCAUCUCUCUACUCAUCCAUCCAUCCACCCACCACCCACCCUCCAUCCAUCCACCCAUCUGUCCGUUUGUUCAUCCUCCCACACAUCCCUCCAUCCACCCACACAUCCUUCCCCCAUCCUUCCGUCCAUCCAUCUAUCCAUUCACCUGACAUUCCAUCCGCCCAUCCAUCUUUCCACAUAAGAUCAAUGCAAUGUAAAUGGUCCCAAGGAGCCACUUGCCAGCUGUUAGCUUCUGGCCUCUGACUAUCAGCUCAUCCCUAGUAUAAAGCAGCAUCCCAAUGUUGUCUUGCAGACUGCUUGAGAGUGUUAAAUGAGCUGUUUGUGUACAGAGCCUUGAGUUCAUGUUAUUCUAUGUAGUUGAACGAGGCAUAAUUACAUUGAAAAAAUUCUACAACUAGUAGGAUUCAAGAUUUCACUCAUGCUUCCACCUUCACAUUUCUCAAUGUCAUUUUGCUUUUCAGUCCCACAGAAGAUAACCCUCCAAAUGUUGAAUGGAUUCUGGAGCUGAGGUCCACCCUGGCCACCCACCCUUGUGACUGAGGGAGCCAUCUGCCUGUCGGGUGGCAGGGAUUCAGCACAGAGGGUGGCCUAGCUUCCUUCCCUUCCGAGUUUGCCUUUGACAAGUCUGGGCUGCCUUUUUCUGGAAGAUGAGGGUAGAAGGCUUGGGAGCAGGCAGACCUUUUCUUCUCCAGGAAGGUGGUGGAGGGGACAGCUCUGGGGGAAGCCGGCUGGACUGGCCAUGGUGGCGGCUGGAAUAGGCAUCAGCUCCUGGGGAGUGUCGGACAGCAGGACUGAGGCAGCAUUUAGAGACUCCUAGUGCCCUGUGCUUCUGAUCCUGGGCACGGGGGUGGGGAUGGGGGGAGGCAGACAGCCUUUUGCCAGAGAGAGCUUGGCACUCGGGUUCCUGCCAUCUGGGUUGUGAGUGCUGUGUGUGUGUGUGUGUGUGUGUGUGUGUGUGUGGUGCAUCUGCAUCUGUGUGUUUCUCUAUGUGUGUCUCUCCGUAUAUCUAUGGGCUCCAUAUAUGUCCAUGUGUGUCCUGGUGUAUGGUGUAUGUGUGUCCCUGUGUUUGCGUCUGUCUGUGUGUCUGUGUGUUCAUAGACAGACUCUCCUGCUCGGUGUCAGCGGUGCUCAGUGCAGGGCUGGGGGACCUUGAUCCACUCUGUCCCGCCCACACCACCUGUCCUGCCUCUUCCACAGGUUCAAUUGCAGACCUAGAGGACAAUUCACACAAGCUGAAUUUUCACACAUUUUUUUGCCUCACAUCUAUGAUACUGGGGAAUAAACCUGCAAAACACAGGCCCUGUCACCGACUUGCCAUCAGCAGGAGAAUAAGGAAGCACCCAAACACAGACUAAGGAGCCAGGUGAGGCCCAGGCCCUCGGCUGCAUGCUCCACCCCAGUGCCCUGGAGGGAGGCUGAGGUUUCUGGUCCACUGCCCCACAGACAGGGGUCAGGAGGAUGCGUGGUGAGCUGCAGUGGGAGGCUACUGCACAGUAGCUGAAAGUUUGGCUGACCUGUCCCCGAGGAUGGGUGUGGGAGAGGGGUCUUCAUGGAGGGAGAUGGCCGGGGUGCCCAUUCAAGACCCUUCCAAGGACUCAGAGGCAGGAGUCCCCAGGUUUGGCAUGGAGACUGUGUUGGAAAGGAUGGACGAUUAACCGAGCCGGCAAGGAGUGACCUGUUGCUCCUGGAGUCCAAGUCACAGAGAGCAUGCCCUGCCCAUAGAGAGGCACGAGGCUGCUGUGGACAGCAAGCCUCCUCCCGCCCACCUUCGACCCUGAAGGUACCACUCUAGAAGGAACUUGCGCUAACUGGACAAACUCUUGCUCACUGCCUUGGCCCCCUGCUCAGCUGGAAGAUGCCAAGAUCCCCCCACUUCACACACACUGAGCACCUCCCACCUGUGACCAGCACUGUUCUGGGUGCAGGAGACGUGGCAGUGCCCAGGGCAGAAUCAAUAACCUGUCAUCAUUGACCCUGUAGUGGGUAUUAGGCAGUCAGUGAGAAGUAAGGCAGAGGAGCAGGAGGAGGACAGAAAUGGGGUGCUGGGGAAAGGCUGCAUGUUUCCAGAAGGGCUGGUCCGUGAGGCCUCACCGAGAAGGUGUCAAUUAAGAUCAGAAGGUGAGGGAAUGAGCCUUGUGGAUGUGUGGACAGAGCAGAAUAGGCAGAGUGAAGGGUAGGUGUAAAAGUCCUGCGGCAGGGAACGCUGGUGAGGCCAGAGCAGAAGGUACAAAAGGGAGUCUGGUAGGAGAUGAUCAGAAAAAGAGGCAGACCAUGAGGGACCCCUAGGCCUUCGCAAAGCCUCCACCGGACAGUUUCUAACAGAGAGUGGCUUAGAGCUGUUACUGGGUCAUUUUUCCUGGGGUGUCGAAGUAGUGUUGGGCCACCAGCCCCAGGGUGUGGAAGCUGGCUCCACAGGAUGGAGCUCAUAAAAUGGAGACAGUCAUGGUUUCUCCUCUUGUGGGUCAAGAGGAAGGCCCAGGAGCAGGAGAAGCUGCCUUCAGGUCGGGUAUGAACCCGGAGAAACGUGGAAGGAAACUUACUGGGCUAUUAACACAGGGCUCCCGGGGAGGGAGGGCUGGGAGGAGACUUCAAGAUAAAACCCUGUGCCAAGAGGAAGCGUGACGAGUGUGGCAGGCACAACACAGUUCCAUGUAUGCAGAUCACACGGGCAGGAGUUUUUGAAGCGACAGAUGUGUGAAAACUGGUCAUUAAAAAUGGGCAGUGUUUAUUUCUGGGGGCCAGAUUUCUGCUGAUUCUUUUUUCCUAAUACAUUUCUGUGCUGUUUAAUUUUUUUUUUUUUUUUACAAUAAACAGGUGUUAUUUAUAUAACCGGGGGGGGGAAAAAUCCAGUAGAGCUAUUUUCACUGUGGCAGAAUAAAAGAGAAACAACGCAAAGAGGAAUUUGUGUUCUGUUCUGUUAAUGCAUUUCCUCUUCUCAGGCCCUCCUGCAGCCUCAGAAGCAGGAUGGAGCUCAUAAAAUGGGGACAGUCAUGGUUUCUCCUCUUGUGGGUCAAGCAGCUACAUUCACGCUGGACACAGCUGCUGUUCCGUGUGUGACACUCGUGGCCGGCCGUUCUUCCAGUUCAGGGAACCAGGUGGCUGCAGAGCACCUCCCCCUCGCCCCUCAGGGACACAAGCUCACCACCAGCCCACGUGCCGCACUCCAAGUUCAUUACCCGUGGCAGGGGGGCAACCUUGCCAGGCGCCUGGUGAAAGUCAAGAAGGGAUGAAAGAAGGAGAGAGGCGACGCCUGCAGGUCCUGGCCUCAGAGCGGGACUUUGCCCACCUCUUGCCCAAACCCCUUUCGAGGAAAAAGUAGUCAGGAGGAGGCUGGUGGCCCCUGGAGCCUGACCCCGCUUCUCUGCAGCAUCACAUCGCAUGAAUAAUUAACCCUCGCGGGCUGAGGAUCUGAUCUUCGCACGCAGAGAUUCCAUGAAAAUUUAAAGACCCGCGCUGCAGCCGGCACUGCGUGUCGUUUUCA